rnacentral:hammerhead_ribozyme from 13 species
UGGAUGUAUAUUCAUGAUAUAGGAUUGCUGAUGAGUCCCAAAGAUAGGACGAAACAACCG